rnacentral:rRNA from 1 species
UACGUAGGGGGCAAGCGUUGUCCGGAUUUAUUGGGCGUAAAGAGCGUGUAGGCGGCUUGGUAGGUCCGCUGUGAAAACUCGAGGCUCAACCUCGAGAUGUCGGCGGAAACCACUUGGCUAGAGUCCGGAAGAGGAGAGUGGAAUUCCUGGUGUAGCGGUGAAAUGCGCAGAUAUCGGAAGGAACAUCAGUGGCGAAAGCGGCUUCCUGGACCAGUACCGACGUUCAGGCACGAAAGCGUGGGGAGCAAACAGG